rnacentral:rRNA from 1 species
UUGAUCCUGGCUCAGAAUCAACGCUGGCGGCGUGCCUCAGACAUGCAAGUCGAACGCGAAAGGCCCCUUCGGGGGCCGAGUAGAGUGGCGCACGGGUGAUUAACACGUGGAUAAUUUGCCUUCGGGUGGGGAAUAACAACCGGAAACGGUUGCUAAUACCGCAUAAUGCAGCGGCAUCUAUGAUGACAGUUGUUAAAGCUGGGGAUGGCUUCGGCCACCUCGCGCCUGAAGAGAAGUCCGCGGCAGAUUUGCUUGUUGGUAGGGUAAUGGCCUACCAAGGCGACGAUCUGUAGCCGGCCUGAGAGGGCGGUCGGCCACACUGACACUGACAUACGGGUCAGACUCCUACUGGAGGCAGCAGUCGGGAAUUUUGGGCAAUGGGCGAAAGCCUGACCCAGCUACGCCGCGUGAAGGAUGAAGUUUUUCGGAAUGUAAACUUCACAAGAAUGUGAAGAAUAAGUCUUGGCUAAUAUCCAAGACGAUGACGGUACCAUUUGCAUGCUCCGGCUAACUCCGUGCCAGCAGCCGCGGUAAUAAGGGCGU